rnacentral:rRNA from 1 species
UGCAAGUCGAACGUGAAGCCACCUUCGGGUGGUGGAAAGUGGCAGACGGGUGAGUAACGCGUGGGAACGUGCCCUUCGGUCCGGGAUAACCCAGGGAAACUUGGGCUAAUACCGGAUACGCCCUUCGGGGGAAAAAUUUAUUGCCGAAGGAUCGGCCCGCGUCGGAUUAGCUUGUUGGUGGGGUAAAAGCCUACCAAGGCGACGAUCCGUAGCUGGUCUGAGAGGAUGAUCAGCCACACUGGGACUGAAACACGGCCCAGACUCCUACGGGAGGCAGCAGUGGGGAAUAUUGGACAAUGGGCGAAAGCCUGAUCCAGCCAUGCCGCGUGGGUGAAGAAGGCCUUAGGGUUGUAAAUCCCUUUCAGCGGGGAAGAUAAUGACGGUACCCGCAGAAGAAGCCCCGGCUAACUCCGUGCCAGCAGCCGCGGUAAUACGGAGGGGGCCAGCGUUGUUCGGAAUUACUGGGCGUAAAGCGCGCGUAGGCGGACCUGCAAGUCGGGGGUGAAAGCCCGAGGCUCAACCUCGGAACUGCCUUCGAUACUGCGGGUCUUGAGUCCGGGAGAGGUGAGUGGAAUUCCUAGUGUAGAGGUGAAAUUCGUAGAUAUUAGGAAGAACACCAGUGGCGAAGGCGGCUCACUGGCCCGGUACUG